CGGGACGUGGCGCAGCCUGGUAGCGCACCUGCUUUGGGAGCAGGGGGCCGGCGGUUCGAAUCCGCCCGUCCCGACCA
rnacentral:tRNA from 1 species